UGCUCUGGGCAGAGGGUCCAGUGAGCAGCUUCUCGUCAGCUGGUGGUUGAGACUCGUAGCUACGUCAACUCAAGACAACAAGUUAAGUUGGGAGUUUAAUGACCGACAGCGAGCUUAGCGAUGAGUGAACCGAGGGCCUCGACUCCGCGGCGUGAAGCUGGUGAAGUUUAACGGUCGGCGUGUUCUCCGGAGAGACUCAUGAAAGGGAGAGUUUUAUUGUUCUAGCUUGCUGGCUAACUUUAGCCAUUUGUCUGGUGAGUUAUCGACAUGGCUAUGAGCGAGGUGUCCCUGCGGCACAAAUACCGUUGCCCUUCCGCGAGCAUAAAGCAGGAGCAGGAUGACGACUCGGACACGGAGGAGACUCACCUAGGGCUGAGGAAGGCAGAAGGACUGGAGUCUCAGAUCAUCCAUAGCGGACACUUCAUGGUGUCCUCGCCCCACACCGAGCAUCCGCCGAAGAAAGGCUACGACUUCGACACUGUCAACAAACAAACGUGUCAGACCUAUCAUUUUGGAAAAGCGAGCUCGUCGCACUUCUCCAUAGACGCCUCACUGACGAAGCUCUUUGAGUGCAUGACUCUGGCGUAUAGUGGUAAGUUGGUGUCUCCAAAGUGGAAGAACUUCAAAGGGCUAAAACUGCUUUGGAGAGACAAGAUUCGCCUGAACAACGCUAUAUGGCGAGCCUGGUACAUCCAAUAUGUGGAGAAAAGAUCGAAUCCUGUUUGUCACUUUGUGACACCACUUGAUGGAAGUAUGGACCUGGACAUCCCUCGUCCUGAGGCCAUCGCUGCAGAGGGGAAAUGCUGGAAAAGAAGAAUUGAAAUUGUCAUAAGAGAAUACCACAAAUGGAGAACAUACUUUAAGAAAAGGCUACAGAAACACAAGGAUGACGACCUCUCGAGCUUACUUAAGGGGCCGGAGGAGCAGUUAUCCCUGUUUGGGGAAGUCUCUCCAGACAUGCUCCGUGUCUCCUUUUAUCAGGAUGAAGAGGCCGCUGCACGCUGUGUGACUCGUCGUAUGAUUACUGAAGCGCCUGCCCCCAUGGAGAUGGACAACCUUUUCGAUAUGGACGUUUUGAUGUCUGAGUUUACAGACACAUUGUUCUCUACGCUGGCCUCACACCAGCCCAUACCCUUCCCUAAUCCGAGGGAGAUUGCUCAUGCAGGGAAUGCUGACAUGAUCCAACCAGGACUCAUCCCGUUACAGCCUAACUUGGACUUCAUGGACUCAUUUGAUCCACUGCAAGACUUAUUUCACAGCCUCCGUCAGCCCGCCUUCCCCUCUGUUUCCCCCACUGCAUCAUCUGUCACCCCUCUACCCAGCAGCAGCUCUCAGUCACAGGCCCAGUUAAUGUCCUCCAUGCAGCUGACAACCAACCCCAUCUCCCCGUCUAGCCCCAUGUCUGUCCCCUCUCCCAUGGCCAGUCAGUCAGGCGGUAGUAGCGAUGGUGUCUAUGCGCACAACUACAUGUCCUUGUUCCCUGGGCAGGUGGCGCCCAGUGGUCAGGUUCCCUCUGUCGCUCAGCCGUUAUCACAUGAUCCUCUGGUACAGUGCCUUCCAGGUCAGGACAUGGCCUCAGCAGCACCCAUGGUUACCUCACCCUUGAACAACACCUCAGUCUUGGAUGAGACUGUAGCGGCAUCUGUGAUUACGCACACAGCCUCCUCUACUGUCACGCCGAGUGACUCUGCCACCACCUUCAGCCACAGCUCGGAUUAUAGCACCUUAUCUGCACAAGCGCCAGGUCACCCAUCCCAUCUCCAAACUGUGGCUCCUCUGGCCGCCACUUCUGUACAGCAAACUCAGACUUUUGCUCUGCCUCGACCUUUACAGCCACCCAGUGCCAACAAAAGUCGGCCCAUGCCAAGGAUCGCUCCUGCUAACACCCUUCCCUCGUCUCAGAUCAUCCUCACAGGCCCUUUCCCAGGUCAUGCCAAUGCUGUGAUUGUUACACCCACACCACUGAAAGCAGAUUUGGUCCCUAACACAGGUGUGGUCAUCACUUCUCCUGCUCUUGGACCGGCAUCUGGAUUUCAUGUCGUGCCUCAGCCUCAGAAGUCUCAGACAAUUGUUCCCAAAGAAAAAUCAUUUUCCUCUAGCCGCAAAAAUCAGAAGGGUUCCUGCAGUGUUGUUCCUAAUCAGCCACAAUCUGGACAAAGGUCGCCCUGCGGGUUAGAUCAGGUUCCUAGCCCACAGUCGUUACCCAGCCCACAGUCAUUAAUCAGCAGUACCAGUCCAGUUUUGGUGAAGAAUGAGCAACCUCAGAUCCGGAGGACCACACACAUAUCUGCUGAGCAAAAGAGGCGAUCAAACAUAAAUAUUGGCUUUAAGACACUCUGCAACCUGGUUCCUGCUCUAAAGUCCCAAUCAAAUAUCAGUAAUGCAGUGACGUUACAGAAGACAGUGGAGCACAUUAUGAAGCUCCAGCAGGAAAGGCAACAAAUGCAGGACGAAGUUAAGAGACUACGAGAGGAGAUUGAGGAGCUCAACACCUCCAUUAGCUUGUGUCAGGAGCAGCUUCCUGUGACGGGCGUACCGAUGAGACGACAUCGCCUCGACCACAUGCAAGAGAAGUUUAAUGAAUAUGUGAAGAACCGCACACUUCAGAACUGGAAGUUCUGGAUUGUAUCCUUCUACAAGCUAGCUGAUGUAACAGUUUUUAUUUUUUGAGGGAGGCUUUUGUGUCUCCCACUUGAAACUAGAAAGAGAGGCACCUCACUGAGAUCUGAAUGAUAAGUUGCAGGAAAUACACAGCAGAGGCAGAAGCAGCCUUCCGACAGGAGAAGUUACGCUUGCCUCAUCCUGGACUGUGGUGCUGACACUCACCAGUCCCCAGCCUCCUUCCUUCUGCUUGGCAUACAGCCUCAGGAUGCUGGACAUGAGGUGAAACCCUGCAUGCAUGCAUGGUAAGGAGCUUCCUUUUCUUGAUAUCAGUGGCUUCUAUCUCCUCCUCUGGCCAGCUUAUUAUCCCAGCAGGGUCUGAUCACAGGCAGGGCAUAGGUGUUAUUACCCCCUCAGUUCUUACUACCUUCCCUCUCUAUGUUAUCAUCAAACUACUUUUCUCCAGGCCGGACAACAUUCCGAUGUCACUGCUGUAUAUCCUGGUGGUGUGGAUCAGUGAAUUGAUGUCUUGUUCACUCUCGGCAUACAGCUUGAUGUCAUCCAUACAGGAGGUGGCUGAAAACUGCUCCAUUCCACAGUCAGUAUUUGUAGCCUGUAGGUUUGGGCGAUAUAUAAAAAUUUUCCAGCCGACAAUUGUCAGUCCAAUAAUCGAUGAUGGGCGAUAUAUUCGCGCAUGCACAUAUCCUCCGUGUAAUCAUGCACAGACUGAUUUCAUGUUUAUAAUACAGAAGAAGUCCAAACAUGGAUGAACUAAUUUCCCCAGAAAAAUUGGGGCUGUCAGCGUUGGCGCAGCAUUUAUGCGGUCAUCACAAUUAACAUGAUUAAAAUUUUUAACGCGCUAAACCCAUCUCCAUCAACAAGCAUUUGGGCGCACUCUGAGGAGGGUGCAUUUGCUCACGAAUAAAAGAGGGUGCUGUUAAAACAGCGCUAUUAUUUAUUUAUUUUUUUUUUGUUGACUGCUUCUAUUAGCUCCAUCAUCAUUAGCAAACUUGCUCAUGGGCAAAUAAAUGAAUAAAUCGCCCUUGUGAAAACGAUCACCGAUAGUUGAUUUAUUCGUCCAAUCACCCAACCCUAGUAGCCAGUCUUGUCAAUGAUCUCACUGAGGGGGUUCAGGCCGAUGCAGAUGCAUCCCCAUUGAGUUCCUGAUGAAGGCUCUUAGGGUCCUGUUGAUCUUGUAUAGUUCUAGGCAUUCCAGGAUCCAAGUGUGGGACAUUGAGUCAUCGGCCUUCUUGUAAUCUAUUCUUCUAGUCUUCUCUUAAAUUCAUUAGCCAAUGAGCUUUGCUACCCAUAUGCUCUUCCAGUAUUGUUCCGUCUCCAGCCUUGGUGGUGCUGCUCUCAUAUUGUUCCCUUGCCACUGAAAGUACACCUUGGCUGGUUCUGUGGAGAACAGCUGCUUUAUUCUUUGCCUUCUAUCUCUCUGGUUUACCUCUUCAAGCAGCUGACCAAAGUUGUGAGUCUUUUCUUGGCAGUUUCCAAAGUGUUAGGUAUGGACAGCUCGCUGUACUUCUUAAGUACCUCCCUGCAGUUCUGAUAGUUGGCUAACCACUCUCCUUCUCCAAUGGAGGGUACUGCUCCUUGUGGAUGUUCAACUUGUAGCCAAGCAUCUCAUUGAUCACUGCUGCUGUAGUGUAGAUCAGCUUGUUUGUCUCAGUAUAUAUCUUAACCCUGUAUUAUGUAUAUAUAUAUAUGUGCGUGAGAGAGAACCUAGCAUCCUAGUAGGGAAACCUUCAGGUAUUUAUUUACCUUUGCUCUCCAGGUCAAUAAUGUAGUAGGGUUGAUAAUAAGACUUCGACUGUAUCAAAACCACACACUGCAUUUUUAAUACCUCUUGGCCUUUUACAUUUAAAGCCUAUUUUGAUAAGUUGUGUAAUCAGAUUUAAAGUUCCUCCUUGACUGUCAUAC